rnacentral:rRNA from 1 species
GUUGUAUGGUUAAGUGACUAAGCGUACACGGUGGAUGCCUUGGCAGUCAGAGGCGAUGAAAGGCGUAAUAACUUGCGAUAAGCCCAGAUUAGGUAGUAAUAACCUUUUGAGUCUG